AUUUGCUAUGAUGGUAUUUCAUCUUUCGGGACUGAAUUCUUUGAUGUAAAUUUUUAGCUGAGCAUAU